UCACGUUUUUCAGAUCCCUCUCUCUCUCUAAACCUAUACACCAUCGACGUCACCAACAGUGCGAGUCACCGUCAUCGUCGUCCACUCCCAGAACCGCCGCUGCCGUUGCCAGUUAUCAUCAAAUGAUGGUUGUUCCUUGGUCAUGUUCGUGGGAUCUCACCAUGUCGCAUAGCAUAUAUGCUGGAUUACAGUGGAAUCUUUGACUAGGUUAACAGGAAAUCAUGUUCAUACUGUGUGUUCCCUUUUUGCUGAUCCUACACUUGGUGUCGUUGUUAGAAGUGUUCUUUCUGCAUCUUCAGUAGGCUUGUGCCACUGGAACUUUGGUAGCGGUAACGAAAGAUGGCAGGUGAAAAGAGGGGUAAGAAAACAAAGAAGGCUAACGAGACAACGGUUCCCCGAAGACCACCAGAAAACCUUGCGAUUAUAAAUAGAAGCCCGUCGCCAUGUCUUCCACCACGCGGCACUCCAUUGCCUCAUGAUCCCCUUAGUGUAGACUAGUUUAAUGUUUUGUGCAUGUUUACAAAUGUUGAAGUAGUUUAAUGUUGUUUUGAUGUUUGCGAAGGUUGAAGUAGCUUAAUUAAUGUCUCUUGUGAAUGUUUGAUUGACGUUUUUAUUCAACUUUGAAGUAAUUUCGAAUUGAAUUUGAUGUUUUGGUGGUUGUAAUAUAUGUGUUGUAAUAGUAGCUUAUUGUUUUAUGUAUUUA